rnacentral:rRNA from 1 species
UACGUAGGGGGCAAGCGUUGUCCGGAUUUAUUGGGCGUAAAGAGCUCGUAGGCGGUUUGGUGAGUCGGGUGUGAAAUCUCCACGCUCAACGUGGAGGGGCCACCCGAUACUGCCAUGACUAGAGUCCGGUAGGGGAGUGUGGAAUUCCCGGCGUAGCGGUGAAAUGCGCAGAUAUCGGGAGGAACACCAGUGGCGAAGGCGGCAACCUGGACAGAUAUUGACGCUGAGGUGCGAAAGCGUGGGGAGCAAACAGG